rnacentral:tRNA from 1 species
AUUUAUAUAGUUUAUUAAAAACUUUACAUUUUCAUUGUAAAAAUAAAAUAUUUUAUCAUUUUUAUAAAUA